rnacentral:lncRNA from 1 species
GGGGCCCGGCGCCGGCGCGUGCGUCACGGGAGGCAAAGUUCCAAGAAACUUGGCUGAGGGCUCGGAGUCCCGCGGGGGCGGGGCGGGAAUGCCGCGGGGCGGGGGCCGGCGACACGGGGGUCCCGGGGGAGUAGGGAUCGGGGCUUCCGGGAGCAGGAGAUCCCAGGGAUAUAGGGUCCCAAAGGUUACGUGUCCAGGCACCUGUCAGAUUUGGGCUACAGAAGAGCGAGGAGAUGGCCAUGGCUUGGGGUGAGCCCAGCACUGCCCAUAGCCCUGCAGCCGGGGCUCCCCUUGGGCACCUGGAGUCCAUUGGCCCUAAAAUGCAUGUGUACAGGGCCCUUGGCUGCCUGCAGCAGCAAGAGAAGCUGCCUGGGGCUACCUGGUUAGAAGGAGUGCACAUCUUCUUCCUGUGUGGUGGUGUUCCUGGGUUCCUCUGGGGAUGCUUGCAUUGGCAGUGCAAUGGAGAUCUGAAGCAUGGUUGUUGCUGCAAACUUAAGUCAAGUGUGUGCCCACUUUCUUCCUGCUGCCCUGGGCAGGCCAUUGUGCGCCUGGCCUGCGGUUCCACACUGACUGACGCGGUUCUUGAAAACCCAGAGUGACUGAGGGCAGGCACAGCUUGGGGGUGAAUUAUUGCCAGGUCUCCUGGAGCAUUACCCAGCAGCGCUGGAAAUGGCCCCAGGGAUCAACACUCUUGCAAAUGAUCAGCCAGCCCCUGACGUUCCUCACAGACGUCCUUAUAUGAAAAUGUUUGCGGGGUCUAAAGUGGAAAAUUGUUUAUUAAAUCUCAGAGGAAUAAAUAAUCAAAAAGCAGUGGGAAGUGUUUAAAU